CACUCCUACGGGAGGCAGCAGUGGGGAAUAUUGGACAAUGGGCGCAAGCCUGAUCCAGCCAUGCCGCGUGAGUGAUGAAGGCCCUAGGGUUGUAAAGCUCUUUCACCGGUGAAGAUAAUGACGGUAACCGGAGAAGAAGCCCCGGCUAACUUCGUGCCAGCAGCCGCGGUAAUACGAAGGGGGCUAGCGUUGUUCGGAUUUACUGGGCGUAAAGCGCACGUAGGCGGACUAUUAAGUCAGGGGUGAAAUCCCGGGGCUCAACCCCGGAACUGCCUUUGAUACUGGUAGUCUUGAGUUCGAGAGAGGUGAGUGGAAUUCCGAGUGUAGAGGUGAAAUUCGUAGAUAUUCGGAGGAACACCAGUGGCGAAGGCGGCUCACUGGCUCGAUACUGACGCUGAGGUGCGAAAGCGUGGGGAGCAAACAGGAUUAGAAACCCUUGUAGUCCC
rnacentral:rRNA from 1 species